UUCCCCCAAACCCAACGCCGAUCACCCGAGCCUUCCUCCUCUCCUUCCUUCCCCAAUCUCCCCUCUCUUCUUCCUCUGUUCUCUCUCUCGCGGACAAGCGACGACGACGGGAGCAAGGCCCUAGCUCCGGCGAUCCUUCUCCGCCGGCAUCGACGCCUAUUGAUCUCAGAUCCGGCCAGCGUUUCUUUCAUUCUCUGGGUUGCAGAUUGCUGGAUCGAUCCAGAUUCAUCGAUCGCUACCGUGGAAGAUGCCUUAGGGCUUCGAGGUUUCCAGAAUGAUCCGUGUAUCCUCAAGUUGGAUCAGAUUAGGUGAUACCUUCUGGAGACAAUCGAUUGAGGGAGGUGUUCUUGAGCUGCCGGGCAGAGGCUAGCUUGAUCAGAGUCUUCCUGCUGGAUUCCUGCUUGAUACGAUUGAUAGCAGCAAGUAGGAAGGAUUUUAGCAGCGAGGUUGUGUUGCUGUGAUGCUGGAAUUAUGGUCAUUGAGGUGGUAUACAGCAGCGUUUCUAGUUCCGGCAACUCUCCAAUAGCAGCACCAUUUCUUUGUGUGGAUCAACAGAACAGUGCUAGGAAUUUAGGACUCUGAUUCGAGACGGGCGUCUCAACUUUGGAUCGCUUGAUAGUACCUUCUAUUUGAUG